rnacentral:rRNA from 1 species
ACUUAUAUUCUGUAGCAAGGUUAACCGAAUAGGGGAGCCGGAGGGAAACCGAGUCUUAACCGGGCGUUAAGUUGCAGGGUAUAGACCCGAAACCCGGUGAUCUAGCCAUGGGCAGGUUGAAGGUUGGGUAACACUAACUGGAGGACCGAACCGACUAAUGUUGAAAAAUUAGCGGAUGACCUGUGGCUGGGGGUGAAAGGCCAAUCAAACCGGGAGAUAGCUGGUUCUCCCCGAAAGCUAUUUAGGUAGCGCCUCGUGAAUUCAUCUCCGGGGGUAGAGCACUGUUUCGGCUAGGGGGCCAUCCCGGCUUACCAACCCGAUGCAAACUGCGAAUACCGGAGAAUGUUAUCACGGGAGACACACGGCGGGUGCUAACGUCCGUCGUGAAGAGGGAAACAACCCAGACCGCCAGCUAAGGUCCCAAAGUCAUGGUUAAGUGGGAAACGAUGUGGGAAGGCCCAGACAGCCAGGAUGUUGGCUUAGAAGCAGCCAUCAUUUAAAGAAAGCGUAAUAGCUCACUGGUCGAGUCGGCCUGCGCGGAAGAUGUAACGGGGCUAAACCAUGCACCGAAGCUGCGGCAGCGACACUGUGUGUUGUUGGGUAGGGGAGCGUUCUGUAAGCCUGCGAAGGUGGCCUGUGAGGGUUGCUGGAGGUAUCAGAAGUGCGAAUGCUGACAUAAGUAACGAUAAAGCGGGUGAAAAGCCCGCUCGCCGGAAGACCAAGGGUUCCUGUCCAACGUUAAUCGGGGCAGGGUGAGUCGACCCCUAAGGCGAGGCCGAAAGGCGUAGUCGAUGGGAAACGGGUUAAUAUUCCCGUACUUGGUGUUACUGCGAAGGGGGGACGGAGAAGGCUAUGUUGGCCGGGCGACGGUUGUCCCGGUUUAAGCGUGUAGGUGUGUGUUCCAGGUAAAUCCGGUUCACUUUAACACUGAGGCGUGACGACGAGGCACUACGGUGCUGAAGCAACAAAUGCCCUGCUUCCAGGAAAAGCCUCUAAGCAUCAGGUAACAUCAAAUCGUACCCCAAACCGACACAGGUGGUCAGGUAGAGAAUACCAAGGCGCUUGAGAGAACUCGGGUGAAGGAACUAGGCAAAAUGGUGCCGUAACUUCGGGAGAAGGCACGCUGACACGUAGGUGAAGUGAUUUACUCAUGGAGCUGAAGUCAGUCGAAGAUACCAGCUGGCUGCAACUGUUUAUUAAAAACACAGCACUGUGCAAACACGAAAGUGGACGUAUACGGUGUGACGCCUGCCCGGUGCCGGAAGGUUAAUUGAUGGGGUCAGCGCAAGCGAAGCUCCUGAUCGAAGCCCCGGUAAACGGCGGCCGUAACUAUAACGGUCCUAAGGUAGCGAAAUUCCUUGUCGGGUAAGUUCCGACCUGCACGAAUGGCGUAAUGAUGGCCAGGCUGUCUCCACCCGAGACUCAGUGAAAUUGAACUCGCUGUGAAGAUGCAGUGUACCCGCGGCAAGACGGAAAGACCCCGUGAACCUUUACUAUAGCUUGACACUGAACAUUGAGCCUUGAUGUGUAGGAUAGGUGGGAGGCUUUGAAGUGUGGACGCCAGUCUGCAUGGAGCCGACCUUGAAAUACCACCCUUUAAUGUUUGAUGUUCUAACGUGGACCCGUUACCCGGGUUGCGGACAGUGUCUGGUGGGUAGUUUGACUGGGGCGGUCUCCUCCUAAAGAGUAACGGAGGAGCACGAAGGUUGGCUAAUCCUGGUCGGACAUCAGGAGGUUAGUGCAAUGGCAUAAGCCAGCUUGACUGCGAGCGUGACGGCGCGAGCAGGUGCGAAAGCAGGUCAUAGUGAUCCGGUGGUUCUGAAUGGAAGGGCCAUCGCUCAACGGAUAAAAGGUACUCCGGGGAUAACAGGCUGAUACCGCCCAAGAGUUCAUAUCGACGGCGGUGUUUGGCACCUCGAUGUCGGCUCAUCACAUCCUGGGGCUGAAGUAGGUCCCAAGGGUAUGGCUGUUCGCCAUUUAAAGUGGUACGCGAGCUGGGUUUAGAACGUCGUGAGACAGUUCGGUCCCUAUCUGCCGUGGGCGCUGGAGAACUGAGGGGGGCUGCUCCUAGUACGAGAGGACCGGAGUGGACGCAUCACUGGUGUUCGGGUUGUCAUGCCAAUGGCACUGCCCGGUAGCUAAAUGCGGAAGAGAUAAGUGCUGAAAGCAUCUAAGCACGAAACUUGCCCCGA